AUGGCCCGAGGAAAUCAGCGAGAACUUGCCCGCCAGAAAAACAUGAAGAAAUCCCAGGAAAUUAGCAAGGGAAAAAGAAAAGAGGAUAGCUUGACCACCUCUCAGAGAAAGCAGAGGGACUCUGAGAUAAUGCAACAAAAGCAGAAGGUAGCUAAUGAGAAGAAGUCUAUGCAGACGAGAGAAAAAUGAUGACUGGAAAAACCUGGGUGUUAUUGCCAACUAGGUGUAUCAUAAGCUCUAAGGUCAAAGUUUUGUGGAGGAAACAGUCAUAUGUUAUAUCCUUAUAAAACUAUUUUAAACUUUACCUUUCAGCCUGACUUAGUAUAAUGUUUCAGAACCAUUCUUUAAAGAAUAAAACACUAACCAUUC